CCAAUAGCGUAUAUUAAAGUUGUUGCAGUUAAAAAGCUCGUAGUUGAACUUCGGGGUUUACUCAUGGGUCUGGCUUAAUUGUCUGUACUGGUGAGAUGAAUCUCUACCUUCUGAGGAACUUUCAUGUCAUUUAUUUGGUGUGAUUGGAAAUCAGGACUGUUACUUUGAAAAAAUUAGUGUGUUUAAAGCAGGCUAACGUCUGAAUACUUUCGCAUGGAAUAAUGAAAUAGGACGGACUGAUUCUAUUUCGUUGGUUUCUAGGAUCACCGUAAUGAUUAAUAGGGAUAGUUGGGGGCAUUAGUAUUCAAUUGUCAGAGGUGAAAUUCUUGGAUUUAUUGAAGACUAACUACUGCGAAAGCAUUUGCCAAGGAUGUUUUCAUUAAUCAAGAACGAAAGUUAGGGGAUCGAAGACGAUCAGAUACCGUCGUAGUCUUAACCAUAAACUAUGCCGACUAGGGAUCGGACGAAGUUAAUUUUAUAAUGACGCGUUCGGCACCUUACG
rnacentral:rRNA from 1 species